UAAAUUUCGCGCAAAUAGUUGGUUUUCCUUGUAAAAUAUAAGAUGGUGUACGAUUCCUAUAUGUCUUGCCUAAUGCAAUCAUCGUUAUAUACGGUGAUCGCAUGCAAUUUUUCAUCGGGCUCGUGCUAGGCUCGGAUCGGACUUCCAUCCACCCUCGGAUGGAAAGAUUUGUAUGCAGGCGAGAAAGUUUUACGAAAAGUUUUUUUACG